rnacentral:rRNA from 1 species
UACGUAGGGAGCAAGCGUUGUCCGGAAUCAUUGGGCGUAAAGAGCUCGUAGGCGGUUUGUCGCGUCGAAUGUGAAAUCUCAGGGCUCAACUCUGACAUUGCAUUCGAUACGGGCAGGCUCGGAGUUCGGUAGGGGAGACUGGAAUUCCUGGUGUAGCGGUGGAAUGCGUAGAGAUCCGGAAGAACACCGGUGGCGAAGGCGGUCUGCUGGGCAGUUGCUGGACACUGAGGCGCGACAGCGUGGGGAGCGAACGAGG